rnacentral:rRNA from 1 species
CCAGACUCCUACGGGAGGCAGCAGUGGGGAAUAUUGGGCAAUGGGCGCAAGCCUGACCCAGCAACGCCGCGUGAAGGAAGAAGGCUUUCGGGUUGUAAACUUCUUUUCUCAGGGACGAAGAAAGUGACGGUACCUGAGGAAUAAGCCACGGCUAACUACGUGCCAGCAGCCGCGGUAAUACGUAGGGGGCAAGCGUUAUCCGGAUUUACUGGGUGUAAAGGGAGCGUAGACGGCUGAGCAAGUCAGAAGUGAAAGCCCGGGGCUCAACCCCGGGACUGCUUUUGAAACUGCGGAGCUGGAGUGCAGGAGAGGUAAGCGGAAUUCCUGGUGUAGCGGUGAAAUGCGUAGAUAUCAGGAGGAACACCAGUGGCGAAGGCGGCUUACUGGACUGUAACUGACGUUGAGGCUCGAAAGCGUGGGGAGCAAACAGGAUUAGAUACCCUAGUGC